GAUGAACGCUGGCGGCGUGCUUAACACAUGCAAGUCGAACGGAAAGGCUCCUGCUUGCCGGGGUACUCGAGUGGCGAACGGGUGAGUAACACGUGGGUGAUCUGCCCUGCACUUCGGGAUAAGCCUGGGAAACUGGGUCUAAUACCGGAUAGGACCACAUUUUGGAUGGUGUGGUGGAAAGUUUUUCGGUGUGGGAUGAGCUCGCGGCCUAUCAGCUUGUUGGUGGGGUAAUGGCCUACCAAGGCGUCGACGGGUAGCCGGCCUGAGAGGGUGUACGGCCACAUUGGGACUGAGAUACGGCCCAGACUCCUACGGGAGGCAGCAGUGGGGAAUAUUGCACAAUGGGCGCAAGCCUGAUGCAGCGACGCCGCGUGGGGGAUGACGGCCUUCGGGUUGUAAACUCCUUUCGCUAGGGACGAAGCGUUUUUGUGACGGUACCUGGAGAAGAAGCACCGGCUAACUACGUG
rnacentral:rRNA from 1 species